UUAUAUUGGACGUUUUAACGAUAACUUUUUUUUAAUGAUUAAAUAAUUGUCAUUUUAUCAUGCUAAAAAGCAUUUUAAUCGUUUUCGUAAAACUGUAAUGAAUUAAACUAGAGUUAAUAUUGUUUAAUUUGAUUUUUAGUUUAUAUUUAAACAAUUUUAAAUCGUAUCAAUGCGAGGAUAAGUUGUAGACGCAGUUAAAUAUGAAAAUAUCAAGAAUAUCAGCAAUUUGUUCAGGACAAAAAUUAAAACCAGAUAAAAUGCUAUAAGUCCUUGGGUGCACCAGUCACACCUGUCAUCAAUGUAUUGAAAAAUUCCUUCUUUAUUGAUUUUUAUAUGAAAGAUGCCGUUUAUGUUUAAGAACACAUAUAUAGGUAUAGGACGCGAAAUUCUGAAACAUAUAAUUUAACGUGCAUUUAAUUGCACGUAUUGAAAAUGUGUCAAAAGGUGGAAAGAUAAAAGAAACUGCUGAUAAAUAUCAAAUUUCUAGAUCAAACUUGCCACAAUAUCUGAAACAAGGAUAUGUCAAGGAUUUUUCCUUGAAAUUUGUAUCUUCAGAAAUGUUUAACGAAUAAGACUAACUACCUACACUUACAUAACGAAUUCUUCAAAACUUCGUUAUAGAUUUUUUUUUAAAUGGCUUUUAGUUGUGCCAACUGGGCUCAAGGUACUUCACCAGUGUCCUGUAGAUGGAGAAGGCACGAAGGAGAUUGAUCGGUGAAAAUAAUAAUUAAAAAAAGUUGAAAUUCGAUUGUUAGUUUUAAGACAGCAUAGACAACAUAAAUAUGAGUAAUAACAUUAUUAAAUACCUACUAUUUCC